rnacentral:lncRNA from 1 species
CGCUUAUCGUCACUCAAAAUUAAAAUCAAGAGAAAGGGCUAAGAUUAGAUUUCUAGAACAUUUCAGAGUCUUCGAUUAAAUAAAACUACUGUAGGAAAUCUCCAUCGGCAAAUAGUAAGUUAAAUACGGAUAAAGUAAUUCAAAUAAACGAUUAGGUUUAAAUCUUACAAUGUCACCCCCAUCAUGUGAUUGACCCAUCACGGGACAAACUCGAAAACAACAAUGACUUUUGAACUUGACCUUUCCUCAGAUUUGUAACUUUUUAUCACCCAAAAAAAUACGAUAUAAAAGCAGCCGAAGGAAAGGGUUGAGGAGCAAUCACACAAGGCAAUCAAAAGCAAUCAGCCUAAGUGACAAAAGGCCGAACCAUGACUAAACUUGAUUUAAAAUUUGAAAGGAAUGGAAUUUGAAAGGAAUGGUAUGGUAUUUGAAAGGAAGGACUCCUACAAUUUAUCAUCAUAAAAACUUUGAGAUAAUCGGUCAAAAUAUUCUACGGCUUAGGAUACACCUAGAUAAAUUGAUACUAAUGACGACGAUCUACUUGACAUGUCUAUGGCACCACAAAAGCAUCUCAUUCCAGCAUGGACCAAAGACACUAGUUAUCAUUUCCAAACGCUAGCUUCAACGAGCUGCUUGCUUGGUAUUACUUUCAUAGUAAUCGGGAGCGUCUUAACAUCGAUUCUGCGAAGGUUUCCACAAUUUCAAGAUCUCUUCAAAGGUUGCAUAGCUUUCUUGGUGGUUGGAGUGAUUCUUUUACUGUUUGGAUUGUGCUUAGUUCUGUACAUCUGUGUGACAAGUAGAAGACAACCAAAACUAUCUUCGGCAGCCAAGUCGUUGGAACUUCCACCUGACCCUAAUCGGUUGCAUCCAGUUUACCCACCUCAUUCGGCAACAUCCCACAGAACGAUAUGCCAUGGUCCUCAGUUUUUGAUUUUACCUGGAAGCGUUGAUCCUGUUUAUGUAUCUUUUAACCCACCGGUGCCCGAAGUUUAAAUUAGAUACUAUUGCAUGAUAGGAUAAAAAGGCGCUUGCGAUGUAUAUUUCAUAUAACGUUGUGUGCGAAAUUGUAUUCCAAAUAAUAAAACCAAAUUUUGAUUUUACUUGGAAGCGUUGAUCCUGUUUAUGCAUCUUUCAACCCACCGUUGCCCGAAGUGUAAAUUAGAUACUAUUGCUUGAUAGGAUAAAAAGGCGCUUGCGUUGUAUAUUUCACAUAACGUUGUGUACGAAAUUGUAUUCCAAGUAAUAAAACCAACUUUUGAAUUUACCUGGAAGCGUUGAUCUUGUUUAUGUAUCUUUUAACCCACCGGUGCCCGAAGUGUAAAUUAGAUACUAUUGCUUGAUAGGAUAAAAAGGCGCUUGCGUUGUAUAUUUCAUAUAACGUUGUGUACGAAAUUAUAUUCCAAGUAAUAAAACCAGCUUUUGAUUUUACCUGGAAGCGUUGAUCCUGUUUAUGUAUCUUUUAACCCACCGGUGCCCGAAGUGUAAAUUAGAUACUAUUGCUUGAUAUGAUAAAAAAGGCGCUUGCGUUGUAUAUUUCAUAUAACGUUGUGUACGAAAUUGUAUUCCAAGUAAUAAAACCAACUUUUGAAUUUA